ACUCCUACGGGAGGCGAGCAGUAGGGAAUCUUCCACAAUGGGCGCAAGCCUGAUGGAGCAACACCGCGUGAGUGAAGAAGGGUUUCGGCUCGUAAAGCUCUGUUGUUAAAGAAGAACACGUAUGAGAGUAACUGUUCAUACGUUGACGGUAUUUAACCAGAAAGUCACGGCUAACUACGUGCCAGCAGCCGCGGUAAUACGUAGGUGGCAAGCGUUAUCCGGAUUUAUUGGGCGUAAAGAGAGUGCAGGCGGUUUUCUAAGUCUGAUGUGAAAGCCUUCGGCUUAACCGGAGAAGUGCAUCGGAAACUGGAUAACUUGAGUGCAGAAGAGGGUAGUGGAACUCCAUGUGUAGCGGUGGAAUGCGUAGAUAUAUGGAAGAACACCAGUGGCGAAGGCGGCUACCUGGUCUGCAACUGACGCUGAGACUCGAAAGCAUGGGUAGCGAACAGGAUUAGAUACCCUGGUAGGAAAGCG
rnacentral:rRNA from 1 species